rnacentral:lncRNA from 1 species
CAAGAACAGCAGAGAAAGAAAUAUUUCAACAACAACAGCAGAGACUGAGGUGUGGAUCAGGCAGAACUGGCCAGUGGUCAGGCUGUUCCAGGUCAUUGAAAAGAUUUGUCUUCACAUUCCCAGGGACUGCUGAUUGUGU